ACGAACGCUGGCGGCAUGCUUAACACAUGCAAGUUGAACGCAGAAUAGAGCUUCGGUUCUAUUGCUGAGUAGCAAACGGGUGAGUAACGCGUGGGAAUCUACCUUUUUGUGGGGGAUAACUGAGGGAAUCUUCAGCUAAUACCGCAUAAGCUCUACGGAGGAAAGGCUUCGGCCGCAAGAAGAGGAGCCCGCGUCAGAUUAGGUAGUUGGUGGGGUAAAAGCCUACCAAGCCAAUGAUCUGUAGCUGGUCUGAGAGGAUGAUCAGCCACACUGGGACUGAGACACGGCCCAGACUCCUACGGGAGGCAGCAGUGGGGAAUAUUGGACAAUGGGGGAAACCCUGAUCCAGCAAUGCCGCGUGAAUGAAGAAGGCCUUAGGGUUGUAAAGUUCUUUCACCUGUGACGAUAAUGACGGUAGCAGGAUAAGAAGCCCCGGCUAACUCCGU
rnacentral:rRNA from 1 species